rnacentral:sRNA from 1 species
CAUUUUCAGUAAAGAAGUCCUGAGUAAACACGUUGUCGUUGAAUACCGCUUCUCUGCCGAGCCUUAUAUUAGUGCCUCAAGCAGUAACGUCUCAGUUUUAUCUAAGUUAUGCCUGCGGGCGAAGAAAACACUCUAAGGAAUUUGCAAAAUGGCAAAGAUUAAAGGUCAAGUUAAGUGGUUCAACGAGUCUAAAGGUUUUGGUUUCAUUACUCCUGCUGACGGCAGCAAAGACGUGUUCGUACACUUCUCUGCAAUCCAGGGUAAUGGUUUCAAAACGCUGGCCGAAGGCCAGAACGUUGAGUUCGAAAUUCAGGACGGCCAGAAAGGCCCUGCUGCAGUUAACGUGACUGCCAUCUGAUU